UUUAGAUGGAUGUCCCGUUUAACAAACGGGUUAAAUUAGUCCAAAAUUUUGGACGAAAGCUAAUAGAAGUUUUUAGCGGUUUAUCCGUAUAAAGAUCUGAUAGGAUACUGAUAAUGACAAUAUUCUAUAAAAGUGUUGACCAAAUCCCGUGCCAGCAGUCGCGGCAAGUCGGGGAACACGCGUGUUAUUCAUCUUUAUUAGGUUUAAAGGGUACCUAGACAGUAUAAUUUGCUAAAUCAAGAACAUUUAUGCUAGAGUUUUAUGUGGAAGGGUUUUAGUACUAACGGAGUAGAGAUAAAAUUUUCUGAUACUGUUGGGCACUGAUAACGGCGAAGGCAGGCCUUUAUGUAAAAACUGACGUUGAGGGACGAAGGCUUGGGUAGCAAACAGGAUUAGAUACCCUAAUAGUCCAGGCAGAAAAUGAUGAGUGUCAUAGAUUAGAAGAAAUUUGAUUUAUAAAUGAAAGUGUAAGCAUUCCACCUCAAGAGUAAUGUGGCAACGCAGGAACUGAAAUCAUUAGACCGUGUCUGAAACCAGUAGUGAAGUAUGCUAUUUAAUUCGUUGAUCCGCGUAAAACCUUACCACUAAUUGUAUAUAGUAACAUUUUAAAACAACAUUGUUUUAUCAGGAAUCUUUUAAAUAAGUACGUUAUUUAUACAAGCGCUGCACGGCUGUCUUAAGUUAAUGUCGUGAGAUGCAGGUUAGCUCCAUUAAAUUAACGUAAACCCUCAUCACACUUAGGGUGUGGUGGUUCUCUGGCAUAUCGGAAAGAUAAGUGGGAACAAG
rnacentral:rRNA from 1 species